UUCCACUACAGCGUCAAAUCUGCGCUCAGUGCCGCUGGCAACGCUACAACGCCACUGCUUUGGGGCGUGUCAAAUUUAGGGCAGAGCACGCCUCUGAAAAACAACCUUGUUGUUUUGUAGUCUAU